rnacentral:tRNA from 1 species
GGCGCGGUGGCGGAGUGGUUACGCAGCGGCCUGCAAAGCCGUCUACGCCGGUUCGAUUCCGGCCCGCGCCUCCA